rnacentral:lncRNA from 1 species
CGCCUCAGCCUCCCAAAGUGCUGGGAUUACAGGCGUGAGCCACCGUGCCCGGCCUGUCCCUAAGAGUUUUACUCUGGUUCAGCAACUGCCUAAGUUGCACUGUUGUUCUGGAAGCAGUCACUUUGAGCAGAGGUGUUGGACACUGGAUGAUACCUAGAGGAAGCUGGGAAAAUGAGUUGCACAGACAGUAAUUGUUGUAGGAAUUCAGAGGGGAAAUACAUUUAUCCAGAUCAGGAAAGUCAAAGAAGGCUAUUCUCGAGGAAGGUGGUGAUGACUGUGCCCCUCUUCUAUCG